ensembl:lncRNA
UGGAGUUUAGUGGAGAAUGUUGGUGUCUGAUGGAGUUUAAUGGAGAAUGCUGGUGUCUGAUGGAGUUUAAUGGAGAAUGCUGAUGUCUGAUGGUGUUUAGUGGAGAAUGCUGGUGUCUGAUGGAGUUUAGUGGAGAAUGCUGGUGUCUGAUGGAGUUUAAUGGAGAAUGCUGGUGUCUGAUGGAGUUUAAUGGAGAAUGCUGGUGUCUGAUGGAGUUUAAUGGAGAAUGCUGGUGUCUGAUGGAGUUUAAUGGAGAAUGCUGGUGUCUGAUGGAGUUUAAUGGAGAAUGCUGGUGUGUGAUGGAGUUUAAUGGAGAAUGUUGGUGUGUGAUGGAGUUUAAUGGAGAAUGCUGGUGUCUGAUACAGUCUGGUGAAGAAUGUAUGUGUACCCCUGUAUGCGGU